rnacentral:rRNA from 1 species
CUGGCGGCGUAGCUUAACACAUGCAAAGUCGAACGGAGUUAAGCGCUGAAUUGAUGCUAGCUUGCUAGUGGAUUUCUUGCUUAACUUAGUGGCGGACGGGUGAGUAACGCGUGAGUAACCUGCCUCUCAGUGGGGAAUAACGCCCUGAAAAGAGCGCUAAUACCGCAUAACAUAUUUUUUGCCGCAUGACAGGAAUAUCAAAGAUUUAUCGCUGAGAGAUGGACUCGCGUCCGAUUAGCUUGUUGGCGGGGUAACGGCCCACCAAGGCGACGAUCGGUAGCCGGACUGAGAGGUUGAACGGCCACAUUGGGACUGAGACACGGCCCAGACUCCUACGGGAGGCAGCAGUGGGGGAUAUUGCGCAAUGGGGGGAAAAACCCCUGACGCAGCAACGCCGCGUGGAGGAUGACGGUUUUCGGAUUGUAAACUCCUUUUAUAAGGGACGAACUAAGACGGUACCUUAUGAAUAAGCUCCGGCUAACUACGUGCCAGCAGCAGC